rnacentral:rRNA from 1 species
AACCUCAGUUCGGAUUGAAGGCUGAAAUUCGCCUUCAUGAAGCUGGAAUUGCUAGUAAUGGCAGGUCAGCAUACUGCCGUGAAUACGUUCCCGGGCCUUGUACACACCGCCCGUCACACCAUGAGAGUUGGGAAUACCCGAAGCCUGUGAGCUAACUUUUAGAGGCAGCAGUCGAAGGUAGAAUCAAUGAUUGGGGUGAAGUCGUAACAAGGUAGC